UUAAUUUUUAUUAAAGGGUAUUAUAGAAAUUAUAUAUAAUUUUUUUAAGAAAGUGAAUGGCGAACCAAAAUAAAUAUUUUAAAAAUUUAUUAUUUUUUUAUUAUCAACUAAAUAUGCUAAAAAUAUUUUUUUAGAAAAAGGCUAAUCAAACAUGUUAAAAAUACUUUCUUAGGCAUUUUUUUAUUAAAAUUUGUUUCUCAGAAAUUAUAUUUUUAGGAGGAAAAAUGUUUUCGCAAACCAAACUAGCCCUAAGUGCAAAACUACUUUACGCACUUGUUUAUUCAUACUUUAUCCGCAUACGACCUACUAUGCGGAAUCUGUCCUCAUAGGACCUACUAGGCGGACACAAUCCGCAUAGAAGGUCCUACUGUGGAAAACUGGUUAUGCGGACAUAAUCCGCAUAGAAGGUUGUAUGCGGACAGUUGUUUAUGCGGACACAAUCCGCACAGAAGGUCUGCGGACAGUCCGUUUAUGCGGACUGAUUCCGCAUAGAAGGUUAUAUGCGGACUGUUUCCGCAUAGAAGGUUAUAUUUGACAAGCCGUUUAUGCGGACAGAUUCCGCAUAGCACCUAAUAUGCGGACAGAUUCCGCAUAGAAGUUAUUAUGCGGACGACCUGCUAUGCGGACGCUUCCGCAGAGAACCUACCAUUCUGUCUUGGUCCGCGGAGAACGUGCUAUGCGGACAGCAUCCGCGUGGAACCAAGAGGCGGGGGCCUUUAGGGCAAGGAGAAGAGGAGCCUAGACGGGGCAAGGAGAAGAGGAGCCUAUUCUAUGCGAAUCGUCUGGGAAUGGAAUAUGCUCCUUGCCCCCAUUUCUGUGCUUGCUUUGUUUCAGGUAAAGCUUGAAUAGAAUGGAUGAGCAGAAGCAGAAGCAAGCUGUUGCCAUAGAAUGACUUCUCUAGAAUGCAUCCCCAAUCCAACACGAUGGCUUUGUUUCACAUCGAGCAUGAAGGGCAUGGAGGGGUAGAAGCCGAAGCCGAAGCAGAAGCAACGUGUGGCUUUGAAGGGGCAGUAGCCAUUGAAUGAAUUUUCUAAGAUGGAUCCCCAUUCUAAUAAUAUAUUAGCUUUAUUUCACUUUAAGCAAGGAAAACAUGGAGUAGAAGCAUAAGCAAUAUGUGGCUUUGAAGGGGCAAAUGCUAGAGCAAGUUUUCUUUUGGUUUGCUCUUCUCUUCUUUUGGUUUACUUGAACCCAAAAGCUUAUUUCAUCCAUCAGGAAACUUAGGGUAUUUGAAGGGACAAACUUAUCUCGAUUACCAUGUUUAAAUAAUCAUUGGAUACGAAAGCUUAAAUUGUAUAUCAUGUCUUAAUAUUUUGUCCUUUUCUUUUCCCUUCUCAUAAAGUGUACUCACAGCAUCUAAAUGAAAUAAUAUUUUUUCUCAUAGUUUCCAGA